rnacentral:snRNA from 1 species
AUCGCUUCUCGGCCUUUUGGCUAAGAUCAAGUGUAGUAAAUGCACUAAACUUCUAAGAUAAAACCUCACUUUAGAUUAGGUGCUGAAGCUUAU